rnacentral:rRNA from 1 species
GGAGAGCACUCCUACGGGAGGCAGCAGUGGGGAAUAUUGCACAAUGGGCGCAAGCCUGAUGCAGCCAUGCCGCGUGUAUGAAGAAGGCCUUCGGGUUGUAAAGUACUUUCAGCAGUGAGGAAGGUGGGUAUGUUAAUAGCAUAUUCAUUUGACGUUAGCUGCAGAAGAAGCACCGGCUAACUCCGUGCCAGCAGCCGCGGUAAUACGGAGGGUGCGAGCGUUAAUCGGAAUUACUGGGCGUAAAGCGCAUGCAGGUGGUUGUUAAGUCAGAUGUGAAAGCCCGGGGCUCAACCUCGGAAUUGCAUUUGAAACUGGCAAACUAGAGUACUGUAGAGGGGGUAGAAUUUCAGGUGUAGCGGUGAAAUGCGUAGAGAUCUGAAGGAAUACCGGUGGCGAAGGCGGCCCCCUGGACAGAUACUGACACUCAGAUGCGAAAGCGUGGGGAGCAAACAGGAUUAGAUACCAUGGUAG